UACGUAGGGUGCGAGCGUUAAUCGGAAUUACUGGGCGUAAAGCGUGCGUAGGCGGUUUGCCGUGUCCUGUGUGGAAGCCCCGGGCUCAACCCGGGAACUGCGUCCGAGACUGAAAGGCUUGAAUCCGGGAGAGGGAUGUGGAAUUCCAGGUGUAGCGGUGAAAUGCGUAGAUAUCUGGAGGAACAUCGGUGGCGAGGGCGGCAUCCUGGACCGGUAUUGACGCUGAGGUGCGAAAGCCAGGGGAGCAAACGGG
rnacentral:rRNA from 1 species